UACGGGGGGGGCAAGCGUUGUUCGGAAUUACUGGGCGUAAAGGGCUCGUAGGCGGCCAACUAAGUCAGACGUGAAAUCCCUCGGCUUAACCGGGGAACUGCGUCUGAUACUGGAUGGCUUGAGUUCGGGAGAGGGAUGCGGAAUUCCAGGUGUAGCGGUGAAAUGCGUAGAUAUCUGGAGGAACACCGGUGGCGAAGGCAGCCACUCUGG
rnacentral:rRNA from 1 species